UAUCUCUGUAGAGUCUGCAUAUCAAUAAGCGGAGGAAAAGAAACUAACUAGGAUUCCCUCAGUAACGGCGAGUGAAGCGGGAAGAGCUCAAAUUUGAAAUCUUCAAGGUUCUACCUUGACGAAUUGUAGUUUAAAGAAGUGUUUUCUGUUGGAGUUUUGGUAAAAGUUCUUUGGAAUAGGACAUCAUAGAGGGUGAGAAUCCCGUAUUUGACCAUUAUUUCCAGCUUUGUGAUACACUUUCAAAGAGUCGGAUUGUUUGGGAAUGCAGUCCAAAAUGGGUGGUAAAUUUCAUCUAAAGCUAAAUAUUGGCGAGAGACCGAUAGCGAACAAGUACCGUGAGGGAAAGAUGAAAAGAACUUUGAAAAGAGAGUUAAACAGUACGUGAAAUUGUCAAAAGGGAAGCGUUUGACACCAGUGUUGUUUUCUCGAAAAUCAAUUAAAAAAGGCUGGAUUUUGUGUUGUAUUGACUUUAUCAGCUUUCUGCACUCUUUUCUUGUCUUUUUUAAUGCACUUUUCGUUAACAAGUCAACAUCAAUUUCUUUUGUUGUAAAAGGGUGUGAUGGAAGGUGGCUUUCUUUUCGGAGAAAGUGUUUAUAGCCUUGUAUCUUCUGCAAUCGGAGAGAUUGAGGUCUGCAGCGUAGACUCCUUCGGGGUUAGAUACAUUUGUGCUAAGUUAUAGCCUUUUCAUAGACAACUUGUUGACUAUGAUCAGUCAUGUAGGCUUACUCGCUUAUGUCUAUUUUACCUACGCUUAGGAUGUUGAGUAGCGACAUACGCAC
rnacentral:rRNA from 1 species